GAUGAACGCUGGCGGCGUGCCUAAUACAUGCAAGUCGAGCGAAUGGAUUAAGAGCUUGCUCUUAUGAAGUUAGCGGCGGACGGGUGAGUAACACGUGGGUAACCUGCCCAUAAGACUGGGAUAACUCCGGGAAACCGGGGCUAAUACCGGAUAACAUUUAGAACCGCAUGGUUCGAAAUUGAAAGGCGGCUUCGGCUGUCACUUAUGGAUGGACCCGCGUCGCAUUAGCUAGUUGGUGAGGUAACGGCUCAACAAGGCAACGAUGCGUAGCCGACCUGAGAGGGUGAUCGGCCACACUGGGACUGAGACACGGCCCAGACUCCUACGGGAGGCAGCAGUAGGGAAUCUUCCGCAAUGGACGAAAGUCUGACGGAGCAACGCCGCGUGAGUGACGAAGGCUUUCGGGUCGUAAAACUCUGUUGUUAGGGAAGAACAAGUGCUAGUUGAAUAAGCUGGCACCUUGACGGUACCUAACCAGAAAGCCACGGCUAACUACGUGCCAGCAGCCGCGGUAA
rnacentral:rRNA from 1 species